rnacentral:rRNA from 1 species
GUAGGUGGCAAGCGUUGUCCGGAAUUAUUGGGCGUAAAGCGCGCGCAGGCGGUUCUUUAAGUCUGAUGUGAAAGCCCAGGGCUCAACCGUGGAGGGUCAUUGGAAACUGGAGAACUUGAGUACAGAAGAGGAAAGCGGAAUUCCACGUGUAGCGGUGAAAUGCGUAGAGAUGUGGAGGAACACCAGUGGCGAAGGCGGCUUUCUGGUCUGUAACUGACGCUGAGGCGCGAAAGCGUGGGGAGCAAACAGGAUUAGAUACCCUGGUAGUCCACGCCGUAAACGAUGAGUGCUAAGUGUUAGGGGGUUUCCGCCCCUUAGUGCUGCAGCUAACGCAUUAAGCACUCCGCCUGGGGAGUACGGCCGCAAGGCUG